rnacentral:rRNA from 1 species
AACGAACGCUGGCGGCAGGCUUAACACAUGCAAGUCGAGCGCCCCGCAAGGGGAGCGGCAGACGGGUGAGUAACGCGUGGGAAUCUACCCAUCUCUACGGAAUAACGCAUGGAAACGUGUGCUAAUACCGUAUACGUCCUUCGGGAGAAAGAUUUAUCGGAGAUGGAUGAGCCCGCGUUGGAUUAGCUAGUUGGUGGGGUACAGGCCUACCAAGGCGACGAUCCAUAGCUGGUCGGAGAGGGUAAUCAGCCACAAUGGGACUGGGACACGGCCCAGACCGCUACGGGGGGCAGCAGUGGGGCAUAUUGGACAAUGGGCGCAAGCCGUAUCCAGCCAUGCGGCGUGAGUGAUGAAGGCCCUAGGGUUGUAAAGCGCUUUCACCGGUGAAGAUAAUGACGGUAACCGGAGAAGAAGCCCCGGCUAACUUCGUGCCAGCAGCCGCCGUAAAAC